rnacentral:rRNA from 1 species
UACGAAGGGGGCUAGCGUUGCUCGGAAUUACUGGGCGUAAAGGGCGCGUAGGCGGAUGACUAAGUCGGGGGUGAAAGCCCGGGGCUCAACCUGGGAAUGGCAAUGGAUACUGGCAAGCUAGAGUGCGGUAGAGGGUAGUGGAAUUCCCGGUGUAGCGGUGAAAUGCGUAGAGAUCGGGAGGAACACCAGUGGCGAAGGCGGCUACCUGGACCAGCACUGACACUGAGGCACGAAAGCGUGGGGAGCAAACAGG